GAUGAACGCUGGCGGCGUGCCUAAUACAUGCAAGUCGAGCGAACAGACGAGGAGCUUGCUCCUCUGACGUUAGCGGCGGACGGGUGAGUAACACGUGGAUAACCUACCUAUAAGACUGGGAUAACUUCGGGAAACCGGAGCUAAUACCGGAUAAUAUAUUGAACCGCAUGGUUCAAUAGUGAAAGACGGUUUUGCUGUCACUUAUAGAUGGAUCCGCGCCGCAUUAGCUAGUUGGUAAGGUAACGGCUUACCAAGGCGACGAUGCGUAGCCGACCUGAGAGGGUGAUCGGCCACAAUGGAAAUGAGACAAGGUCCAGACUCCUACGGGAGGCAGCAGUAGGGAAUCUUCCGCAAUGGGCGGAAGCCUGACGGAGCAAAGCCGCGGGAGGGAUGAAGGUCUUUGGAUCGUAAAACUCUGUUAUUAGGGAAGAACAAAUGUGUAAGUAACUAUGCACGUCUUGACGGUACCUAAUCAGAAAGCCACGGCUAACUACGUG
rnacentral:rRNA from 1 species